CUCCGCGCCGCCGUCCUUCUCGCUCUUGGAUGCCCGCAGUGCCCGCUCCCUCUGAACUCGCCGGAGCAGGGAUACAGCCGCCCGGGGCCUCUUGCUCGUGCUUGGUUUUCCGUACCCCACUUCCUAAAGGGUCUUUAGGGGUUCCCGGACUCCUUCGCCUGGGAGCCUCCAUCCGCCCCGCACAGCCCCCGGCAGGGCCGAGGGGCGGCUUCAGUGGCGACCUGGUGGGGCCUAGCCGCCCUGCUCCCUGACGUCAGCGCCGGCGCCGUCAUUGAACAGCUUUUGCUUAGGGCAGAAGAACCUAUGGGCACAAAAAGCAGCAUCGCGUAGCGGUGGCGGAAGAACGAGCAGGAGCUUGAAUUUCAGUUUUCUUAUGAGGAAUUUUCCAGAAAAGAUAUCUUCACUGUGAAAUAAGUAAAUAAACGCCCACUCAGUACAAUCACUGUCUCCUUUUUGGCACUUGAUGGCACCUUACGCCCAGCUUUGCCUCCGCUCUAGAAACUCAUCAGAGUGAUGCCCUUCUCAAAUGGGGGAGGUCUCAAAGGGGAUAUCCUGGCAGUGUGAAAGGCCGGCUAAAGCUUUCCCUGAGCUCCAAACACAGAGCUGAGACCUCUACCUAACUUAGAAAGCUAGCACAAGCCGGCGCUGACAGAUGGAAGACUUGAGAUGUUACAAGAUGAUAUAUGGAAACACUAAAGGAGUGGAGUUGCUGGGUCAUAUGGCAAUUCACUUGAGGAACCGAGAAGCUUAUUCUACAGAGGCUGAACUGUUUUAUAUUCCCACCAGCAACUUAUAAGGUUCCAAUUUCUCUACAUUGUCACCAACACUUGCUAUUUUCCAUUUCCUUAAUGAUAGCCAUUCUAGUGGAUUUGAAGUGGUACCUUAUCAUGGUUUUGAUUGCAUUCUCUAUUAACUAAUGAUAUUGAGCAUCUUUUCAUGUAUUUUUUGGUCAUUUGGUCAUUUUUCUUUUUUAAUUUUAAAAUUUUGAGACAGGCUCUCACUAUAUUGCCCAGGCUGGUCUCAAACUCCUGGGUUCCAGCGAUCGUCAUGCCUCAGUCUCCCAAAGGGGUGGGAUUACAGGUGUGAGCCACUGUGCCCAGCCCAUUUGUAUAUCUCCUUUGGAGAAUAUCUAGGUUCUUUUGAAGGUAGCUGCAUAGAAGCUAGCCAAAUUAACAGACUGUGGUUUUUAGACUGCUUUCCAUAUCUACAAGAACUAUUUAGUUCUUAAAACUGGGAAGAAAUGUUUCAGAGGCAUCAUUAAUUCAUAAUCUAAAAAUUUAUUUCAGGUUUCCUUUUUUCCCCAGAUUCUGUAUCCUCCAUAGUUCUAUUCAUGACAUGGGUCAUUCAUCUCUGUAUUCUAAACCCUCAACAAACUGUAGACACUAAUAUUUAUUGGAUGAA